AGAAUGUACAGCAGGGGAAUGAAGGCAGACAGACGGACAGCCCUGUUAUAGGAACACAGACAGAUAUUGUCUCAGUCGAUAACCCUCACAGGCACUUGAUGCUACUGCCAAACUCCACGUUAGUCCAUGUUGGAGGGGGCCAGGGGAGGGCUAGUUGUAAGCUUGCCCCUACCCCUGUCUCAAGGACACCUCUCUCUGAUGGGAUUUGGGUA